UACACAUGCAGUCGAGCGGUAGAGAGAAGCUUGCUUCUCUUGAGAGCGGCGGACGGGUGAGUAAUGCCUAGGAAUCUGCCUGGUAGUGGGGGAUAACGUUCGGAAACGGACGCUAAUACCGCAUACGUCCUACGGGAGAAAGCAGGGGACCUUCGGGCCUUGCGCUAUCAGAUGAGCCUAGGUCGGAUUAGCUAGUUGGUGGGGUAAUGGCUCACCAAGGCGACGAUCCGUAACUGGUCUGAGAGGAUGAUCAGUCACACUGGAACUGAGACACGGUCCAGACUCCUACGGGAGGCAGCAGUGGGGAAUAUUGGACAAUGGGCGAAAGCCUGAUCCAGCCAUGCCGCGUGUGUGAAGAAGGUCUUCGGAUUGUAAAGCACUUUAAGUUGGGAGGAAGGGCAGUAAAUUAAUACUUUGCUGUUUUGACGUUACCGACAGAAUAAGCACCGGCUAACUCUGUG
rnacentral:rRNA from 1 species